CCCUCCCUCUGGCUUCAUGCCUAACACAUGCAAGUCGAACGAGACCUUCGGGUCUAGUUGCGCACGGGUGCGUAACGCGUGGGAAUCUACCCUCAGGUUCGGAAUAACUCAGAGAAAUUUGAGCUAAUACCGGAUGAUGACGUAAGUCCAAAGAUUUAUCGCCUGAGGAUGAGCCCGCGUAGGAUUAGGUAGUUGGUGAGGUAAAGGCUCACCAAGCCGACGAUCCUUAGCUGGUCUGAGAGGAUGAUCAGCCACACUGGGACUGAGACACGGCCCAGACUCCUACGGGAGGCAGCAGUGGGGAAUAUUGGACAAUGGGCGAAAGCCUGAUCCAGCAAUGCCGCGUGAGUGAUGAAGGCCUUAGGGUUGUAAAGCUCUUUUACCCGGGAUGAUAAUGACAGUACCGGGAGAAUAAGCUACGGCUAACUCCGUG
rnacentral:rRNA from 1 species